rnacentral:rRNA from 1 species
AUGGCUCAGGAUGAACGCUAGCGGCAGGCUUAACACAUGCAAGUCGAGGGGUAACAGAGGAGCUUGCUCUUGCUGACGACCGGCGCACGGGUGCGUAACGCGUAUACAAUCUGCCUUACACUAAGGGAUAGCCCAGAGAAAUUUGGAUUAACACCUUAUAGUUUAUUUUUAUGGCAUCAUUUAAAUAAUAAAGUUUACGGUGUAAGAUGAGUAUGCGUCCCAUUAGUUUGUUGGUAAGGUAACGGCUUACCAAGACUACGAUGGGUAGGGGCCCUGAGAGGGGGAUCCCCCACACUGGUACUGAGACACGGACCAGACUCCUACGGGAGGCAGCAGUGAGGAAUAUUGGACAAUGGAGGAGACUCUGAUCCAGCCAUGCCGCGUGCAGGAAGACGGUCCUAUGGAUUGUAAACUGCUUUUAUACAGGAAGAAUAAGGACUACGUGUAGUCUGGUGACGGUACUGUAAGAAUAAGGACCGGCUAACUCCGUGCCAGCAGCCGCGGUAAUACGGAGGGUCCGAGCGUUAUCCGGAAUUAUUGGGUUUAAAGGGUCCGUAGGCGGGCUGUUAAGUCAGGGGUGAAAGUUUGCAGCUCAACUGUAGAAUUGCCUUUGAUACUGAUGGUCUUGAAUUAUUGUGAAGUGGUUAGAAUAUGUAGUGUAGCGGUGAAAUGCAUAGAUAUUACAUAGAAUACCGAUUGCGAAGGCAGAUCACUAACAAUUGAUUGACGC